rnacentral:rRNA from 1 species
GACGAACGCUGGCGGCGUGCUUAACACAUGCAAGUCGAACGGUAAGGCCCUUCGGGGUACACGAGUGGCGAACGGGUGAGUAACACGUGGGUGAUCUGCCCUGCACUUCGGGAUAAGCCUGGGAAACUGGGUCUAAUACCGGAUAGGACCACUGCCUGCAUGGGUGGUAGUGGAAAGCUUUUGCGGUGUGGGAUGGGCCCGCGGCCUAUCAGCUUGUUGGUGGGGUGAUGGCCUACCAAGGCGACGACGGGUAGCCGGCCUGAGAGGGUGACCGGCCACGCUGGGACUGAGAUACGGCCCAGACUCCUACGGGAGGCAGCAGUGGGGAAUAUUGCAAAAUGGGCGCAAGCCUGAUGAAGCGACGCCGCGUGAGGGAUGACGGCCUUCGGGUUGUAAACCUCCUUCAGCACCGACGAAGCGCAAGUGACGGUAGGUGCAGAAGAAGGACCGGCCAACUACGUGCCAGCAGCCGCCGCCG